GGUUGCUCCGACAUGCGCACACGGAGGCAAUUGUAGUUUGGGUGACUUGCCACACAUUGUUUCCUUCAGCAUGUUAACCUUUACAGCUGCACCCAAACAGAGGUUUCAUUUCUCGCUGGUUCAUGAGUCGAGUUACGUGGCGUAACGAACAACAGGAACAAUCUGUUUACGUCACCUUCACGUGCCCCAGUCGCCUCCCCUGGUAUCGGGCGCUCUUCUGCGCGGCGUCAGACCAAGUCAGACCGUGAAAAAGGAAACCACUGUUUCUCGCGGAUACCUCAACAGUAAAAGUUUCAAGACAGCAAAAUGUUGACAACGACGAGGCUUGUGAGAGAACAUUUGUUACUGUGAUGUCACAACUGAACUGAAGAGUUGUCUUUACAGUCUUCUUCUCCUCACACACGUCACCAUGUUCGUAUCUUCAGUACUUUCUCUCCUCCGGAAAGUGAGCGUUGCUACAAAAUAAAACGGAAUAAAUGAUGAGAUCAGAAGGAAUGCAGAUUGGAGAUGGACUGAAAUUUCCUUAAAACCUCGGACAAGGGAAAAAAGAAGAAAAGAAAUAAUGUUUUUACUCCGUCCUUAAACCCUGCCACGUCAGCCCACCCGUAUCUUCUCACGAUCACCACGGACACCUGCUGAUGUCUACAGACCACUCAUUGACCAUGAUCGGGGAAUGUCUUCUCCUAGCCUUGCCAGUCUUGUGCUGUGCUGCUGCCGCUAGAGGUCGCGACAUGAUGCAGCUGCCCCGGGUUUCACACAGAAUAGUAAAAGGAACAUCACUUCCUCGUCAGACCAUCGACAGUCUACUGGAGCUGCCCCCUCAUGCCAAAGUGUACGGAGAAGACGACGACUUCGGGUGCACGCCGGGGAUCAGCUCAUUGAGCUGGACGUGUGCAUCACACCCGAACAGGCCAAACAGUUCGAACCCUUGCCACAGGAAAUGUCUGACAGCACUUCCGGGAGACAGCGACGAAAGCGCCAGGCGAUGGAUGCGGCAGCGUUUCCAAUCUGGAGAGGGGCCGUCAUCCCGUACGUCUUCAAUCUGUCCUUCUCAACUUCUGACCGCAACCUCGUCCUCACGGCCAUGGCCGAGUGGGAGCUGGUCACGUGUGUCCGGUUCCGACCAGCCACAGCUGAGGACAUCGACUUGGUGAUUUUUAGAGAUGGCAGCAGGUGCUCGACAAAUAUUGGGCGGUAGGUGGCCCUCAGGUUCUGACCCUUGCUCAGCCAUGUCGUACGAAGCGCAUUUUGAUUCACGAGCUGGGUCACGUGCUGGGUCUGAUUCACGAGCACCAGCGCCACGACCGCGACACGUACGUGCACGUCCUCCUGCAGAACGUGCGCAACUCCACCCAAGAGCGCUACCAGUUCUCCAAGUUGUCUCUCCGACCUUUGACCGAUGGCCAAGUGGAGUACAGCUACACCUCCAUCAUGCACUACGGACGCAACUAUUUUGCCAAACACCCGGACCUGACCACGUUGCAGACGAGUGACCCCAACUUUCCAGAACAUCAUCGGUCGAGCGGAGGUACCGUCUCCGAGCGACGCAGAAGCUAUCAACCUGCUGUACGGCUGUGAAGGAACUUUCCAGAACCGACUUCCAGACGCGACUUGUGACUUUCUCCUGCGCACGGGCACAUGCGACGGCAAGGUUCGGGACACGAUCCGCCCUCUCUGCCCCAAGUCUUGCCAGCUUCACCAACGGCAGCACCACCACCACCAAAACCAUCAUGGCCCAGAGAGCGGCGGUGGCGACCUCUAUCAACCUCCCCUUCACUCGGGCUUCCGCUCGACCACCACGGGCCUGGCAUCUCUCUCAAGUCUGACCCCUUCAACGUGGGUCACGGCGCCAACGUCAUCGCCAGGCCGCGAGGCAGCUUGCAUGUGGAGGUCGCAGGGUUGUUGUCGACUUCCGGGGCGGGUCGAAACCCGUUUCCGCAGGUUUCUCCCAGCUGGGUCAAGACAGGGUCAGAGGGGCUUACUGCUGACCAGACGGACAGCGCCAUCCAGCGGGUGAAGUCAUUGGUGGAGCAGUCUCAGCAGCGUGGACCGCAGGACGAAACGCCGAGGAGCAGACAAUGGACAUCAAUGGCGGCGGCAGCAAAACAGGAUCAUGGGUCCACAGUUUAGGUUCCUUGCUGUCCAAUCUCGGAGCCAUGAAGAACGACACCAACCACAUUCCUUUCAGCUGGCUGAGGUCACGCCCACCCAACGACUCGCGUUUCCAUGGCAACGUUGCCAGGUUGUCCACCACGACAAGCGACCCUGGGAAGCCCGGCGCAAGCUUCGGAGCCGAGAACUCGCCCAUGGCGGCCUCCAACAUGAUGGCCUUAUCACCAGAGUUCUUGCCGGAAUCCUCGCUGGCGUCAGCCCCUCGCGGUCCGCAGUCGCCCGCUGACCAAGCAUCCUCCGCGCACGCUGACCACAAGGCCAUCCAUCGGUCCUCCGCGCGGCAGGCGUCUCCGGAGGAUCUCGCCGCCAGCCUGCUGAGUCUCGUCAUUGAAGCAUCAAGGUCUUCCGCGCGGGUGCCGCUUGACAGCGCCAUCGCGAAACCACCGGUGGCAUCUGGGGGUGGUCAUGCAUACCCAAGGCUGCACCCAACGGACAGGAUGGGGCCGGACACGCAUGCAAAUUUGCAACCCUUAACUUUUGUAAUUUAAAAGAUGGACAAACAAACAAAAAAGAAACAUCGCUGUUAUUGUCGAUCAGACAAAAAGAAACAAUAAAAACGGCGGUCUGUUUUCUAUGCACCUUGAAAAAUUACAUCGUCAAGAAGUGGAGGACCCUCCCUUUGGCUUUGAUCUCCUUCGCCUAACGGACAUUCCUGGGACCAAUCAUUGAAGCACAAACUUGGUUCAUACUAACAAACAAACUGGACCAUAGAGGCAUUGCAGACGGAUCCAUAACUUUUGAGGUCUCACUCCCCAACUCAAUGCCAAAGUUACUUUCCUUUUGUUCCGGCAACAAUAAUGGAGCAAAGAAAACAAAAGUUGAGGAAAGAUGUCAAAGUGAUGUGAUGUCGGAGAUGUUCGUGCGCCUUACACUACUCGACUUAUUGGUUGAUUACUUUUCGCACCCGGGUUAUCUCUGUGUCGUAUUAAAACUGUUCAGGAGAAGUUCAA